rnacentral:rRNA from 1 species
GAUGAACGCUGGCGGCGUGCCUAAUACAUGCAAGUCGAGCGAACAGACGAGGAGCUUGCUCCUUUGACGUUAGCGGCGGACGGGUGAGUAACGCGUAUCCAACCUGCCCACCACUUGGGGAUAACCUUGCGAAAGUAAGACUAAUACCCAAUGACGUCUCUAGAAGACAUCUGAAAGAGAUUAAAGAUUUAUCGGUGAUGGAUGGGGAUGCGUCUGAUUAGCUUGUUGGCGGGGUAACGGCCCACCAAGGCAACGAUCAGUAGGGGUUCUGAGAGGAAGGUCCCCCACAUUGGAACUGAGACACGGUCCAAACUCCUACGGGAGGCAGCAGUGAGGAAUAUUGGUCAAUGGACGAGAGUCUGAACCAGCCAAGUAGCGUGCAGGAUGACGGCCCUAUGGGUUGUAAACUGCUUUUAUAAGGGAAUAAAGUGAGUCUCGUGAGACUUUUUGCAUGUACCUUAUGAAUAAGGACCGGCUAAUUCCGUGCCAGCAGCCGCGGUAAAAGGG